UCAAACUUGGUCAUUUAGAGGAAGUAAAAGUCGUAACAAGGUCUCCGUUGGUGAACCAGCGGAGGGAUCAUUACCGAGUUUACAAACUCCCAAACCCAAUGUGAACGCUACCAAACUGUUGCCUCGGCGGGAGAUUUGCCCCGGGCGCGUCGCAGCCCCGGACCAAGGCGCCCGCCGGAGGGAAAAAAAACCAAACCCUUGUAUGCCCCCUCGCGGGCUUUCUCAAGCUCUGAGCCUUUCUCGGCGCCCCCCUCGCGGGGGCGUCACGAAAAUGAAUCAAAACUUUCAACAACGGAUCUCUUGGUUCUGGCAUCGAUGAAGAACGCAGC
rnacentral:misc_RNA from 1 species